AACUUUCAGCAACGGAUCUCUUGGCUCUCGCAUCGAUGAAGAACGCAGCGAAAUGCGAUAAGUAAUGUGAAUUGCAGAAUUCAGUGAAUCAUCGAAUCUUUGAACGCACCUUGCGCUCCUU
rnacentral:rRNA from 2 species